rnacentral:rRNA from 1 species
AGUGAACGCUGGCGGUAGGCCUAACACAUGCAAGUCGAACGGCAGCACAGUAAGAGCUUGCUCUUACGGGUGGCGAGUGGCGGACGGGUGAGGAAUACAUCGGAAUCUACUUUUUCGUGGGGGAUAACGUAGGGAAACUUACGCUAAUACCGCAUACGACCUACGGGUGAAAGCAGGGGAUCUUCGGACCUUGCGCGAUUGAAUGAGCCGAUGUCGGAUUAGCUAGUUGGCGGGGUAAAGGCUCACCAAGGCGACGAUCCGUAGCUGGUCUGAGAGGAUGAUCAGCCACACUGGAACUGAGACACGGUCCAGACUCCUACGGGAGGCAGCAGUGGGGAAUAUUGGACAAUGGGCGCAAGCCUGAUCCAGCCAUACCGCGUGGGUGAAGAAGGCCUUCGGGUUAUAAAGCCCUUUUGUUGGGAAAGAAAAGCAGCAGGUUAAUACCCCGCUGUUCUGACGGUACCCAAAGAAUAAGCACCGGCUAACUUCGUG